GACGGAGGAUGCAAGUGUUAUCCGGAAUCACUGGGCGUAAAGCGUCUGUAGGUGGUUUAAUAAGUCAACUGUUAAAUCUUGAGGCUCAACCUCAAAAUCGCAGUCGAAACUAUUAGGCUAGAGUAUAGUAGGGGUAAAGGGAAUUUCCAGUGGAGCGGUGAAAUGCGUAGAUAUCGCUUGGAACGGCAACGGAGAAAUCAGCAGGCUGGGGAUGUGCUGACGCUGAGACGUGAAAGCCAGGGGAGCAAACGGG
rnacentral:rRNA from 1 species